CUAAGUUGUUGGUUCUCUAGGGUUUCAGGUGAUGGUUCUGCUCAUCUACCUGAGUGUUCUCCUCACACUUUACUUCAUUCCCCUAUCGAUCACCUCACCCUGUAUUAUGGAGCGUGGGAGUCUCAAAGCAGCACCCGCCAUCAUCGGUCAUCAAGGAGCUCCAAUGCUGGCUCCAGAGAACACUCUCCUAUCGUUCAACAGAGCUCUGCAGAGGAAUGUUAGCGGGUUGGAGGCGGAUGUGACCAUCAGUCUUGAUGGUGUGCCGUUCCUCAUGAGAGACCGGACGCUGAGGAGAACCACAAACGUGAGAAGAGUGUUCCCGGACAGACAGUAUGACGAUGCGUCAUUCUUCAACUGGACUGAUUUGACCUCACUGAACGCUGGCCAGUGGUUUCUAAAGGAUGAUCCCUUCUGGACUGUGCAGUACAUGUCAACAUCGGAGCGCUGGUCAGUUGGGAACCAGACAGUUUGCAGCUUGGAGCAGAUGCUGAAACUAGCAGCUAAGUCCAAGAGCUUAGCCGUAUUCACUCUGCGCAGACCGCCAGCCAAUCACCCCCACCGCCACGACUGGGUCAACCUCACCCUGGACACUGUUCUGACAUCCGGAAUACCGCAAGAGCAGGUGAUGUGGACGCUGGACAGUAACAGGGAGAUGGUGAGGAGUGUUGCUCCAAGUUUACAGCAGACAUCUGUGCAGAAGCUGCCUCUCAACACACUUCAUCAUAAAGGCAUCAGCAGGGUCCUGCUGCGCUACAACCAGGCAUCUGCGCAGGACGUCCGGCUGUAUAAUGAGAACAACAUCAGUCUGACUCUGUAUUCGGUGAACGAGCCGUGGCUGUAUUCCCUGCUGUGGUGCAGUGGGGUGCCGUCCGUCUCCUCCGAGGCCCCGCAGGUGCUGAGGAAGGUGCACUAUCCGCUCUGGCUCAUGAGUCCGGAUGAGUACUGCUUGAUAUGGAUCUGUACUGAUCUCAUUUCCUUUGCUGUAGUUCUGGGAAUAUUUAUAUUCCAGAACUAUCACAUAAUCAGGUGGAGAAUGAGCGGGAUGCGGAGCUACAACCCAGAGCAGAUCAUGCUGAGCGCAGCCGUCAGGAGAUCCAGCAGAGAUGUCAACAUCAUGAAGGAGAAGCUCAUCUUCUCUGGUCAGCCACAGUAGCUGUCUACCUCCUGGGUUUGAGUCUGUGUCACCGCAUCCCUUCAUCCCAUUCCAUCUCAUUCCCUCUCCUCUCCUUCCUGUCUCUCACUGUCUGCCACCAUCCCAUCUCUUCCUGCAUCCAUUCUUCCAUCAAUCCAUACUCCGCUGACAUCCCACAGCUUGAAUGAUAGGCCAAUGGCCAGAGUAACUCUGGCCUGCGUUUGAGGUGAGCAACGGAGUCAGUAGCGAUGAACCCUAUAUGGAAAAUGGAUUUAACUACUACACCAAUUAAGACAUUGCUCAUUGACUCAUGGAACAAAAAAGGACAUCACAUCCUGAUCGGGCUUGUGGUCCAUCCUCUGAACUACUGACUCAACUCAACUCUUAGCCUACUGUUUCUGAUGGACCAGUGUACAGAAUUUUUUUUAUUUUUUCACUAUUAAGUUGCUCGUUUUAAAUUCUGGACAGUAAAGAGAAGUAGGAAGUGCGGUUCUUCUGUUGACUUUCCAAAUCUGUGGCCUCUUCCCCUACGUAACGCUUGAGGAUCCUGGAAUGCCCGUUACCUGCUUCGUAUUGAAAGCAUGCCUGUGAUAAUAUAGUGGAUUUUAUCUGUCGGGUUUUGGGGAUUUUAUUUUUUUAAUCUUCCAUAGCCAGCCAAUGUGGAGUAUAACACAUUAUGCCAGUUUUAAUUUUUAUUUUUAGACCCUGGUUUGGUGUGAUAUUAACAGUCUAAUGAUGCCUUCUGUUCAAACGGUUGUGCAUUUUUAAGAAUAAACAGGUGUUUACAGAGUGCCUGCCUUUUGACCUUCAAAUUAUAUUUGCUGUAUUUAAUAUACCAUCUAUUUAGCAUGUGGUUCAGUUGUCAUUUUGGAAGGAAAUCACCCAGCCUUAUCGUUUAAGUAGGUAUGAUGCCAGAUUACAUGGAAUAUUUAUGUUUGGCAUAUCUGUGGUUUAAUUUAGGAAAAAAAAAAUAAAAAAAAUCCCCUAGUUAGGUUUAAAUGGUGGAUUACAGAAACCAAGGGUCUGUCCAAAAUUGAGUUUAGAUUGUAUAGUUGAACACUGUUUAUAAAGGAAGCUGGCUUGGAGUUUCGAUGCGGUGCAAUAUUACUCAAGACACUGUCCUUGUCCGGAUGUUGUCUUUUUAGUCUCAACACUUUUGUUUGAGUGGCUUUUCAUGUAUUAAAUAUUUUGUACAGGGCUUCCCAUUGCUGAGAUGUCCUGACCCUUUACUUAAUAUUGUAAAUGUGAGAUGUGACGUUGUUUACAGUGGCUUGUGCUGUCACACAGAGGACGAGGCUGAACGCUUGUGCCGUUUGAUGUUUUUAUUUUGUAUUGAUGUGUUUCAGAGGUCGAGCAAUAAAACAAACUCUGCAGUUUUAACAAGGUUUGUUUUUCUUUGCACAGUAGCAAAGGUUAAAGGACUUUAAUCGCACAUACAAACAAGGUUCUGUACAUAAUGCAACAAAUGAAAUGGUACAGGACUGUACAAAAAUAGAAUUCAGUGUUUUUUACAAUUACAGUAACGUUUUGAAUAUGCAUUCACACUGAUAAUCGUUUUCCCUUUUGAAUUUGUGCAGUGUUCUGAACUCCUCUAUAUGUAAAGUGCAUUAAACUAUAUUCACACUUUG